rnacentral:rRNA from 1 species
UACGUAGGGAGCGAGCGUUAUCCGGAUUUAUUGGGUGUAAAGCGUGUGUAGGCGGUAAAUUAAGUCUAAGGUUUAAGCCCGGAGCUCAACUCCGGUUCGCCUUAGAAACUGAUUUUCUUGAGUAUGGUAGAGGCAAGUGGAAUUUCUAGUGUAGCGGUAAAAUGCGUAGAUAUUAGAAGGAACACCAGUGGCGAAGGCGACUUGCUGGGCCAAAACUGACGCUGAGACACGAAAGCGUGGGGAGCAAAUAGG